AUAUAGUGCUUGAUACAGGCUCUCACGUCCUCCAUAACACUGCAUUCUCAUUGGCCGGUCAGCGAAAGACGUGUUGCCAAAUCACUGUAUAAAAGUGCCUUACUCUAGUGGUUUACACACACACCAGCUGUACCUAAGAACCGAAUGAGACAAGACACAAAAAACUACUGAAAUUAUUAAGUGGUAACAGCUUUCCAUCUUCAUAGGACUGAAAAUGGGAAAUGAUAACUCGGGUGAAGACAGAGAACGUAAAAGAGCUGAAGCAGCUGAGGCCGCGCGAUGGAUACUGCAGCAACAGUAUAAAAGAGCUCAAGAAGAAGCAGAAAUGCAGAGAGUGAGAGCGCAACAAAGAGCAGCAGAGGAGCGAUGCAAAAUGCUAGAAGAAAAACAAGCUCUCCAGGAGCAGUGCCAAAGAAUUGAACAAGAAAGAAAUAUACAGAGAAUGAAAGAGGAAGAGAAGAGAAGAAUCUACAAUGAGAACAGAUUUAAAGAGCAAGAGGAAAGGAAAAGAAUUCACAUAGAGAAGCAAAAUUCACAAAAAGAAAACACGACAAGUUAGAUAAACCGUUUCUGUGGUCUGUUAACAGGAGGCAUUUUUUCAUGAUAUAUGCACAUUGUAAACCACGUUUUGUUUUAUAAAAUAAAAAAUCUACAUUUUAUUUACACCUCCAAAGAAGAGUAUGCUUAUUUUUACAUGUCUUUUGAAUUUAGUUUGACAGGCAUGAGAAAAUACCAGAUGUGUUCGGCUAUUAUUCUAGGAAUUUAUCUUGACACGCAGUUAAAUCAUAAACAAUAAAUAUAAACUAUGAUUGCAUAACCAUUUGAUUGUUUGUCAAUGUAUGAACAUAUAAAUAAAAAAAUGCAACUUUUUUUAA